GGCCUGCUAGCGUACCAUGGAGUCGAGCGGUAACAGGGGUAGCUUGCUACCCGCUGACGAGCGGCGGACGGGUGAGUAAUGCAUAGGAAUCUACCCGGUAGUGGGGGAUAACCUGGGGAAACCCAGGCUAAUACCGCAUACGUCCUACGGGAGAAAGGGGGCUUUGGCUCCCGCUAUCGGAUGAGCCUAUGCCGGAUUAGCUGGUUGGUGAGGUAAUGGCUCACCAAGGCGACGAUCCGUAGCUGGUCUGAGAGGAUGAUCAGCCACAUCGGGACUGAGACACGGCCCGAACUCCUACGGGAGGCAGCAGUGGGGAAUAUUGGACAAUGGGCGAAAGCCUGAUCCAGCCAUGCCGCGUGUGUGAAGAAGGCCCUCGGGUUGUAAAGCACUUUCAGUGAGGAAGAACGCCUGUCGGUUAAUACCCGGCAGGAAAGACAUCACUCACAGAAGAAGCACCGGCUAACUCCGUGCCAGCAGCCGCGGUAAUACGGAGGGUGCAAGCGUUAAUCGGAAUUACUGGGCGUAAAGCGCGCGUAGGUGGCUUGAUAAGCCGGUUGUGAAAGCCCCGGGCUCAACCUGGGAACGGCAUCCGGAACUGUC
rnacentral:rRNA from 1 species